AUUGAACGCUGGCGGCAUGCCUUACACACGCAAGUCGAACGGCAGCAUGAUCUAGCUUGCUAGAUUGAUGGCGAGUGGCGAACGGGUGAGUAAUACAUCGGAACGUGCCCUGUAGUGGGGGAUAACUAGUCGAAAGAUUAGCUAAUACCGCAUACGACCUGAGGGUGAAAGUGGGGGACCGCAAGGCCUCAUGCUAUAGGAGCGGCCGAUGUCUGAUUAGCUAGUUGGUGAGGUUAAGGCUCACCAAGGCGACGAUCAGUAGCUGGUCUGAGAGGACGAUCAGCCACACUGGGACUGAGACACGGCCCAGACUCCUACGGGAGGCAGCAGUGGGGAAUUUUGGACAAAGGGCGAAAGCCUGAUCCAGCAAUGCCGCGUGUGUGAAGAAGGCCUUCGGGUUGUAAAGCACUUUUGUCCGGAAAGAAAUGGCUCUGGUUAAUACCUGGGGUCGAUGACGGUACCGGAAGAAUAAGGACCGGCUAACUACGUG
rnacentral:rRNA from 1 species